GCCUAUUUUUCCAGUGCUGAUAUUCAUCUGAUUGUGUAAGUGAUCGGAGCUACAGGAGGACGGAAGUUCGAGUAAAAGUAAUAAAACAUUAGCAGAGAAGGGAGGAAAGUCCGAAACCCAGGAAGUUAGCGCCAUCGAUCAGUUUCGUGAACACAUUGUGACAUCAUUAUGACCAAAGUGUGUUGUGUUCAGACAAGUGUUGAAUGAAUUUAUCCUCCUCAUCCAGUUAGUCAUAAUCACAUCAGUUCAGUCAGCGAACUGUGGAGCACCUGAACCAGAUCUACAACUAAAACAUUUCCAC
ensembl:lncRNA